UUUGCCCUACCGUGUGCGUGGUCAAUCUGACAAUGUUAUGAGCCAACACCAUAACAUUGGGAGCCUGUACUCUGGUUGUGGCGUGCAUGCCUUUUGGUAAGGACGCAUAAAGCAACUAGGAGGGCACCCACCUGCCUAGGCAGGUUCAUUAACAGUCAGGAAUAGCGGCAUGGUGGGGAUCUU
rnacentral:other from 1 species